UGGCCAUUGGCUCUAAAAACUAAAUGAACUGCCCGGUAACCAAACUGUUGAUCCCACCAAGUCAUAAAUGAAUUGGGACAACUAUGGAGAAGCUCAAAUGGUAAAGAUAAGAAUAAAUAUGGAAAAUGACCUGAAGGGUCAUUACAAUAUCCACUACUAAAAGGACUUCCGUCCUUGAAAGUUAAUGGAUAGAAAGAAUCUCAAAAGCUCAAAGGAAAGAGGAACUGGGCCC
rnacentral:lncRNA from 1 species